UGAUCUAAUUAAGCUUCUCUUUCAGCCACAAAGGGUUCGGACUGAUGAGAUAAGGACUAGAGAAUAGCAUCUAACUUUGAAUCCAGUCCGGACACCUUUUCAUCAAUCUUGGUGUUGAGCUCAGCCACUGAGGUCUCAAGAGUGGUUAACUUGUACAUUGUGUCUGAAACAUUGGAUUGAAUAUCCAAAAGGGCAAAUUCAUCUAUAUUGUUUCCUGCUGAGGCUCCGUUGUUUGAGCUUCAAGGUUGAGGAUUGGCUUUCGGAGAUUCCGGAUUGAGUGGAGUGACAGAAGGAUGGGGUUUGUUGGUGGCAUCAUCAUGAAGCUUUUAUGUUGAUUUAGAUUCAUCUUUUUUUACAUUGUGUCUGAAACAUUGGAUUGAAUAUCCAAAAGGGCAAAUUCAUCUAUAUUGUUUCCUGCUGAGGCUCCGUUGUUUGAGCUUCAAGGUUGAGGAUUGGCUUUCGGAGAUUCCGGAUUGAGUGGAGUGACAGAAGGAUGGGGUUUGUUGGUGGCAUCAUCAUGAAGCUUUUAUGUUG
rnacentral:lncRNA from 1 species